AGAAAGCCGAGGGAGACCCGGCGCCAGGGUUCGUUCGAGUCGGGGAAGCGAACUGGGCCCUCGAUACACUAGGGACGACGGGCAGGGACCUGACCCUGUUACUCGGCAUAGUGACACCUGCAGCAGAGUCCGGGCGUAUGACAUUUGCGCUGCCGCAGGGCACGCCAGGGCAUCCCCAGUGCCCUUCCUCCUAAAGCCAGCUCGGGAGCAGAUUUGGUCCUUCCGUUCUGGCCGCCGCAGUAGCGAAGCCGCCACCCUCCACCUGAACCAGAGUUACAGCGUCUGCUAAGGGUUGUGAUUGAGCCCGGAAGGGGUCGAGGAUGGGGUCCUUGGGAGAAUUUGUAAGCCUGGACUCUUGUCUUCAGCUGCCCGAACCUCUGCACUCUUGCGUCUUAGUUCAGCUCCCAAAUAUCUGGCACAUGGGGUGUCCCCAGCCCUUUGGGUCCUAGGGCCUUUGCUCCUUAAAUGCAGCAGGGGACACACCCUUCUCCUUCUGUCCUAGAUACUACAGGUGAUUUUCUGAGAGCCCCGGGGUAACAGUCCUGACUUUAGGUCGAAGAAAGCUGUGCUUCCCUUUGCCCAGCACCUCUGUGAUCCUGGCCCUGCUUUUGACCUGAGCUCUGAGCCCAUUAAACUACUGCAUUCCU